rnacentral:sRNA from 1 species
UAGCUCCUUCAAUAGGUGCUGCUUAACACCGUGGGAGUUGAGAAAGGCGCAAGGGAAUUUGCAGGGAGGGUGACACCACCCCCUCUCAGGGAAACAGAAGGACCUCGGCUCCAGUUUGCUUUGCUUAUGGCAUUCGAAUCAAGAAACACCACAAUGACGGUUAUAUCGUCGUGGAAAUGACGCCUCACGCCACGAUCAAUUUUCUUGAGGUCUGAGUAUCUCAUCUCCCUCUUCUUGGCUGCUUCUUGCAUUGCGACUUUAACUAGUCUUCGAGCAAUCCCCUGG